GACGAACGCUGGCGGCGUGCCUAAUACAUGCAAGUUGAGCGCUGAAGGUUGGUACUUGUACCGACUGGAUGAGCAGCGAACGGGUGAGUAACGCGUGGGGAAUCUGCCUUUGAGCGGGGGACAACAUUUGGAAACGAAUGCUAAUACCGCAUAAAAACUUUAAACACAAGUUUUAAGUUUGAAAGAUGCAAUUGCAUCACUCAAAGAUGAUCCCGCGUUGUAUUAGCUAGUUGGUGAGGUAAAGGCUCACCAAGGCGAUGAUACAUAGCCGACCUGAGAGGGUGAUCGGCCACAUUGGGACUGAGACACGGCCCAAACUCCUACGGGAGGCAGCAGUAGGGAAUCUUCGGCAAUGGGCGAAAGUCUGACCGAGCAACGCCGCGUGAGUGAAGAAGGUUUUCGGGUCGUAAAACUCUGUUGGUAGAGAAGAACGUUGGUGAGAGUGGAAAGCUCAUCAAGUGACGGUAACUACCCAGAAAGGGACGGCUAACUACGUG
rnacentral:rRNA from 1 species